GACGAACGCUGGCGGCGUGCUUAACACAUGCAAGUCGAACGGUAAGGCCCUUCGGGGUACACGAGUGGCGAACGGGUGAGUAACACGUGGGUGAUCUGCCCUGCACUUCGGGAUAAGCCUGGGAAACUGGGUCUAAUACCGGAUAGGACCACUGCCUGCAUGGGUGGUGGUGGAAAGCUUUUGCGGUGUGGGAUGGGCCCGCGGCCUAUCAGCUUGUUGGAGGGGUGAUGGCCUACCAAGGCGACGACGGGUAGCCGGCCUGGGUGGGUGACCGGCCACACUGGGACUGAGAUACGGCCCAGACUCCGACGGGGGGCAGCAGUGGGGAAUCUUGCACAAUGGGCGCAAGCCUGAUGCAGCGACGCCGCGUGAGGGAUGACGGCCUUCGGGUUGUAAACCUCUUUCAGCACCGACGAAGCGCAGGUGACGGUAGGUGCAGAAGAAGGACCGGCCAACUACGUGCCAGCCGCCGCGGUAA
rnacentral:rRNA from 1 species